rnacentral:rRNA from 1 species
AGAGUUUGAUUAUGGCUCAGGGUGAACGCUGGCGGCGUGCCUAACACAUGCAAGUCGAGCGGGUACCCGCAAGGGUACCAGCGGCGCACGGGUGAGUAACACGUGGGUAAUCUACCCCUCGGAGGGGGAUAACCGGGGGAAACUCCGGCUAAUACCCCAUACGAUCCAACAACACAAGUUGUUGGAUGAAAGGAGCGUUUGCUCCGCCGAGGGAUGAGCCCGCGGCCCAUCAGGUAGUUGGUGGGGUAAUGGCCCACCAAGCCUACGACGGGUAGCCGGCCUGAGAGGGUGGUCGGCCACAAGGGCACUGAGACACGGGCCCUACUCCUACGGGAGGCAGCAGUGGGGAAUCUUGGACAAUGGGCGAAAGCCUGAUCCAGCGACGCCGCGUGGGGGAUGAAGCCCUUCGGGGUGUAAACCCCUGUUGCGAGGGAGGAAUAAGGCCUGGAGGAAAUGCCAGGCCGAUGACUGUACCUCGCGAGGAAGCCCCGGCUAACUACGUGCCAGCAGCCGCGGUAAUACGUAGGGGGCGAGCGUUACCCGGAUUCACUGGGCGUAAAGCGGGUGUAGGCGGCUCGGUAAGUCGGGUGUGAAAUCCCACAGCUCAACUGUGGAAUUGCGCCCGAAACUGCUGAGCUUGGGGCCGGUAGAGGGAGACGGAACUGCCGGUGUAGGGGUGAAAUCCGUAGAUAUCGGCAGGAUCGCCGGUGGGGAAGCCGGUCUCCUGGGCCGCGCCCGACGCUGAGACCCGAAAGCUAGGGGAGCAAACCGGAUUAGAUACCCUGGUAGUC